rnacentral:rRNA from 1 species
UAGGGAGUCUUCCACAAUGGACGCAAGUCUGAUGGAGCAACGCCGCGUGAGUGAGAAGGUCUUCGGAUCGUAAAACUCUGUUGUUAGAGAAGAACACGAGUGAGAGUAACUGUUCAUUCGAUGACGGUAUCUAACCAGCAAGUCACGGCUAACUACGUGCCAG